rnacentral:rRNA from 1 species
CCCUUAGAUGUUCUGGGCCGCACGCGCGCUACACUGUUCGACGCAGCGAGUCUUAACCUUGACCGAAAGGUUUGGGUAAUCUUCAGCAAAGUCGAACGUGAUGGGGAUCGAUCAUUGCAAUUAUUGAUCGUGAACGAGGAAUUCCUAGUAAGUGCAAGUCAUCAGCUUGCGCUGAUUACGUCCCUGCCCUUUGUACACACCGCCCGUCGCUACUACCGAUUGAAUGGUUUAGUGAGCUCCUCGGAUUGUCAGCCUGGCGGUUAAUCCUGCCUGGCUAGCGAAAAGACGAGCAAACUUGAGCGUUUAGAGGAAGUAAAAGUCGUAACA